GACGAACGCUGGCGGCGUGCUUAACACAUGCAAGUCGAACGGAAAGGCCUGCUUUCCCUUGUGGAUUGCGGGUACUCGAGUGGCGAACGGGUGAGUAACACGUGAGUGAUCUGCCCCCAACUUGGGUAUAAGCCUAGGAAACUGGGUCUAAUUCCCGAUAGGACUGCAGGGUGGUGCCUGUGGUGGAAAACGAUUUUCUAGUGGUUGGGGAUGAGCUCGCGGCCUAUCAGCUUGUUGGUGGGGUAAUGGCCUACCAAGGCGGCGACGGGUAGCCGGCCUGAGAGGGUGGACGGCCACAUUGGGACUGAGAUACGGCCCAGACUCCUACGGGAGGCAGCAGUGGGGAAUAUUGCACAAUGGGCGGAAGCCUGAUGCAGCGACGCCGCGUGGGGGAUGACGGCCUUCGGGUUGUAAACUCCUUUCGACCGCGAGGAAGCCACCUGGUUGGAAGGGUGGUGACGGUAGUGGUAGAAGAAGCACCGGCUAACUACGUG
rnacentral:rRNA from 1 species